GACGAACGCUGGCGGCGUGCUUAACACAUGCAAGUCGAACGGAAAGGCCCUGCUUUUGUGGGGUGCUCGAGUGGCGAACGGGUGAGUAACACGUGAGUAACCUGCCCUUGACUUUGGGAUAACUUCAGGAAACUGGGGCUAAUACCGGAUAGGAGCUCCUGCUGCCUGGUGGGGGUUGGAAAUUUUCGGCGGUUGGGGCUGGACUCGCGGCUUAUCAGCUUGUUGGUGGGGUAGUGGCUUACCAAGGCUUUGACGGGUAGCCGGCCUGAGAGGGUGACCGGCCACAUUGGGACUGAGAUACGGCCCAGACUCCUACGGGAGGCAGCAGUGGGGAAUAUUGCACAAUGGGCGGAAGCCUGAUGCAGCAACGCCGCGUGCGGGAUAACGGCCUUCGGGUUGUAAACCGCGUUCGCCUGUGACGAAGCGUGAGUGACGGUAAUGGUUAAAGAAGCACCGGCUAACUACGUG
rnacentral:rRNA from 1 species